UAUUGGCCUGGAUGUAGAGGAGGUGGA
rnacentral:sRNA from 1 species